rnacentral:rRNA from 1 species
UACGUAGGUGGCGAGCGUUAUCCGGAUUUACUGGGCGUAAAGGGAGCGUAGGCGGAUGAUUAAGUGGGAUGUGAAAUACCCGGGCUCAACUUGGGUGCUGCAUUCCAAACUGGUUAUCUAGAGUGCAGGAGAGGAGAGUGGAAUUCCUAGUGUAGCGGUGAAAUGCGUAGAGAUUAGGAAGAACACCAGUGGCGAAGGCGACUCUCUGGACUGUAACUGACGCUGAGGCUCGAAAGCGUGGGGAGCAAACAAG